rnacentral:rRNA from 1 species
GUGGGGAAUAUUCCGCAAUGGACGAAAGUCUGACGGAGCAACGCCGCGUGAGUGAUGAAGGUUUUCGGACUGUAAAGCUCUGUUGUUUAGGACGAAAGUGCCUGUUGCAAAUAGUUACAGGUAUUGACGGUACUGAACGAGGAAGCCACGGCUAACUACGUGCCAGCAGCCGCGGUAAUACGUAGGUGGCAAGCGUUGUCCGGAAUUAUGGGGCGUAAAGAGCAUGUAGGCGGGAAUCUAAGUCUGUUGUGAAAAUGCGGGGCUCAACCCCGUAUUGCGAUGGAAACUGGGUUUCUUGAGUGCAGGAGAGGAAAGGGGAAUUCCCAGUGUAGCGGUGAAAUGCGUAGAUAUUGGGAGGAACACCAGUGGCGAAGGCGCCUUUCUGGACUGUGUCUGACGCUGAGAUGCGAAAGCCAGGGUAGCGAACGGGAUUAGAUACCCGGGUAGUCC